UACAGAGGUCCCAAGCGUUGUUCGGAUUCAUUGGGCGUAAAGGGUGCGUAGGCGGCGCGGUAAGUCGGGUGUGAAAUCUCGGGGCUUAACUCCGAAACUGCAUUCGAUACUGCCGUGCUUGAGGACUGGAGAGGAGACUGGAAUUUACGGUGUAGCGGUGAAAUGCGUAGAUAUCGUAAGGAAGACCAGUGGCGAAGGCGGGUCUCUGGACAGUUCCUGACACUGAGGCACGAAGGCCAGGGGAGCAAACAGG
rnacentral:rRNA from 1 species